GACGAACGCUGGCGGCGUGCUUAACACAUGCAAGUCGAACGGUAAGGCCCUUCGGGGUACACGAGUGGCGAACGGGGGAGUAACACGUGGGUGAUCUGCCCUGCACUUGGGGAAAAGCAUGGGAAACUGGGUCUACUACCGGAUAGGACCACUGCCUGCAAGGGGGGUGGGGGAAAGCUUUUGCGGUGAGGGAUGGGCCGGCGGCCUAUCAGCUUGUUGGUGGGGUGAUGGCGUACCAAGGCGACGACGGGUAGCCGGCCUGAGAGGGUGACCGGCCACACUGGGACUGAAAUACGGCCCAGACUCCUACGGGAGGCAGCAGUGGGGAAUAUUGCACAAUAGGCGCAAGCCUGAUGCAGCGACGCCGCGUGAGGGAUGACGGCCUUCGGGUUGUAAACCGCUUUCAGCACCGACGAAGCGCAAGUGACGGUAGGUGCAGAAGAAGGACCGGCCAACUACGUGCCAGCCGCCGCAGUAA
rnacentral:rRNA from 1 species